AGAGACGACAAAGAGAGCGUAGUCAAAAGGCUACUGUACCGCCCGUCGGACAGCCUAGCGCGAGGGGGACGAGGUCCCGCGAGGCAGAGGCUCUACCCCGCCCCUGCGACCGGGGGCAGCGGAGCUCCAGGGCAGCAAGUGCCCUGGCUAGGGCAGAUUGGGCGGCAAGGCGCAGAGUUGCAGGGGGAAGGUUGUUACUGCCCUGCCCUGAGCUUUCUGGCAGGGAUGCGCCCAGUGCAGGGCUGCCCCAUCUUCGCGCUGGGCGGAGUCCGGCGGACCCCCACCAGGCCGGGGCCCCAGCCGUUGUACAGCUCCGCUGGGCGUCAGCCCUGGCCUCCUUUACACACACAAUGAAUGGGGCGUCAGCCCUGUCUUAAGAGGCAGGCAAAGGAGGUGUCCCCCCGCCCCCCAGCUCAGCCUUGGAGGUGGAUUGUGCCCAACCCUUUAGGACAGGAAGCGAAGAAUAGGAGCCCUGAGCACCUUUGUACUCAAUGUACUUACCCGUCCAGCCAGUCCUCCUCCUGGGGCUAGUGAGGAGGAGGAAGGAUUUCUACAGUGCCCUAGAGAGGAAGAAAAAUUCCUAACCCCUCCGCAAGGGAACGUUAGUCCUGGACAGAGGAAGAGGUCUUUGGGAAAGCUGGUGGGAAGAAGGAUCCAUGAUUGGACAUAUGAAUGCAUGUGUGCAUGGCCAUGUUGAAAGAAUGAACAAUGGAGAACUGCAAAGCCAAACCACACCGGAGGCUAAGGUGACUGUGCUCAAGGAUUCAGAACAUGGACUCAGGCCUGUUCUACACUAAUAAAUUGACCUGUUGCUAAAAAAUGGUUGUUGGGAGGAAAUCCCCUUGAACUGAUGCUUUCCAUACUGGGGCUGGAGUUUAUAAUGCUAGCCAUUAAACCAUUUUCAGCACUGGGUUAGAGGAACCUGUUACUAAAAGUGAUCUUUAGCAAUGGAUAAAAUUCCAAUCUAGAGGUAAAACUCACUGAAGACCAAGGAAGAGUUAACGGUUUGGCAUUCCCAUUCAGUAAUUUUACAUUUAACCAAGUUAUCAUGAUCAAUACAUUACAGAUGUAAUGCAUUAUACAUUUUGGGAACACAAACCAUAACUGAAUAUGACGCAGUUUGAUUUUUAAACAAACAUUUCUCCCAACUGUUUCAGACACUAUGGUAAGGUGAAUUUUUAGAAGUAUUUGUUAACUGCUACAUAUAUUAAAAAGAAGGGAUUUUGACUUUUUGCUUUGUGCUGUCAGAAUUCACUAGUUCCACUCUUGUCAAGUUAUUCAGAGUAAGCAAUUUAAUAUAAAAUCCUCAGGCUCUCUAUACACAUAGUAAACCCCCACCAGCAUCCCAACGGCUCAAAGUAAUACAUAGUAACCCCACCAGGCCCCCAAAAAGGUACAAACUGGGAAGUCUAUAAACAAUAAAAUACAACAGCAAAAAAUACAUGAAAUGCUAACACAAGAAAGGUAUUUGCAAAAAAAAAAAAAAAAUACUGGGAGGGACGGGGGGGAAGAUGGCAGGAAGAGGUAGCAAAGGAUGAUUUCUAAACACAUCUAAGGCAAUCUUUGUAUUUAUCUCUUUCUGCAACUAGGAGCCAUCAUUUAACAGCAGAUUUUUACACUUCAAUAACCUCAAGCUCAGGGCAUAUCUAAGAAGUUAGUGACCAGAGGGCAUUCAAGGCCCUAUUCCAAUACAGGCUAUCUUUCCUCCCAAUAGGAAAGAUUGCUAUCCUUGUUAUUGCUCAAUUACAAAUUAAGCUUACAAAAUUAAGCAGCAGACACAGGAAGACAGACUCACAUAAGUAAGCAUUUAUUCAAGAAUCACUUAACAUGAAAGUAUACAAAUAAAAUUUGUAUAAACACAAAUCCACAUUGUGUCGUAACACAGAUGGCAAAAA